CGGAAGCCUGAUCUUUGAGUCAGCGCACACGUAUAUUGGGUGGGGGGGGGCUGGCUGAGUCCUCGGCUCUCUGCCAGGUUCUGGGCUCUUUCCAAGCAAACCCAGGACGUGGCCCCAAAGUGUUGUCCCACAUCUGUCCCCGGGCUGGGUGUCUCUGUGGCAAGAAGGUUGUGGCUGCAGGGAGGAGCCAGCUCUGCCCGCAGCUCCCAUCUGUGACGGGCUGUUCCCAGGAGCGGCUGCUCCAACAACAUUUACUUUGUACGGGGGCCAAGACAGAAAGAGAGGGAGAAAAAAAAAAGAAAUAGAAAAAGAAAAAAGGAAGAGAGAACAGGCCUGCUCUAUUCCAAAAUGUUUCUGACAAACUCUGGCACUCCUGGUUCUAAUCAAAAUACUGAACUUUGGAACAAAUUAACAUUCCACAGUCCUCACUGGGAAGGCGAAUUCAGCCGAGACGACUUCAGUUCACAACCACAACAAAAAUAGCUUCUCCCGGGGAAGACACAUUCCGCUAACAAGGUCACUUUUGUUUUGCUUCCCCUGCCAUCUGGCUGAGUGGCACCAGGGGCUGGCACCGGUACCAGCUUCUUGUGUGGAGAGAGGCUGGGAGCCGGCUGGUGCCGCCCAAGGCUUCUCAGCCUCCUCCUGGCAGAGGGUGGCGGGGCCGAGUUACCUGCAGACGGUCCCAGGACGCGGGCAGAUGGAGCCCUGGUCUCAGCCAGCCUGGCUCUGCUCCCCACUCCCAGCAGCAGGAGCUGCUCAACACCAGCAAGCAGGUGGGGGAGCCGAGGACACGGUGGCAGAAGGAGAAAGACGCGCCUGUGACCCCGAGAAACAUUCCAGGACUCAGCACAUGGCUGGCCCGAGUGAGCGGGGAGCCUGAGCUCCAGAAGAACAAAGAGGCGUUUUGUUCUCCUCCUCCUCCUGCUCCUCUUUCUUUUCUUCCUCUCCGCUUCCUCUCCCUUCUACUUCCAAAGUUCGACCUCUUUUGGUUACUUGUGACCUCAGGCAUAUCCCACAACUUGCCUCUGCCUCCACAUCCCCAUCUGUAGAAUGGGAAUCUUUGCAUGGGUCUUGAGCAGGGGUGCUCAAGUACAAUGAGAGUAUGAUGGGAAUGAGUUGGUGUCUUGCCAGAGCACCAGCCUGGGUUCUCCAGAGGGACGGGGCUGGGCCUCCCAAAGAUUCUCUUAUGACUCCUGUGGUCCACCUGGAGGCCUCUGCUUAACAGAUGUCAACCUGGAGCAUUUUGGUUGCAAAGAUGCUGUUUCUUUUAUACCACUGAUUUUCUGUCUUUUGAAGUAGGAUGAAAAACCUUAAAUGUACACAGAAAUUAUCACAUACAAUUGUAAGGGACCUGUGACCUUCUGGUAGGCGUCUAGAGGCCCCAGAGUAUCUGUUUGGAGCCGGGGUAAGAGGACAAGACUUUUGAUGACCCCGAAGAGGAAGCCUUAAGAUGGACAAACACCUCCCUACCCUUGAGGGGAAGGAGUUCAUUGCAGCAUCUUCUUCUGGGUUUUUAUUUCCCUGAAAGACAAAUAAGGAGACACUGAUUUCACAAUCAGGUUCAAGAGCAACAGAACCCGCUGGUCACGGACUGAAGCCUCUGCAACCGUGAGCCUAAAUAAACCCAGCCUCCUUUGAGCUGUUUAUGUCAGGUGUUUGGCCUCAGCGGUAGAAAGCCGAUCGGCAGACUUCCCUUGCAAGAAGCAGCUUGUGUUAUGGAGCCCACGAGUCCCUGUUUGCCUAGGACAAUCUUGGUCCACACCUGUCAUCGCAGUGUGAUUGUGAGUGGCACAGCUCUGCAGGAUCCUGGAUCCCUUGAGAAGUAAGAUAGCCACACUAUGAGAAAGAGAGUUGUAAAUCGGUGCUAAAGGAUCACUCUUCAGUGUGUCUCUGAUCUAAAGCUCUGAGUCUUAGCCUCCAUGGGACACGCGGCAAUGAGUGAGGACUUUCUCAUUGUCACAACUCGGGCAAGUGUCCUACGAUCACCUAGCGGGUAGAGACCAGGGCUGCUAACACCCUCCCCAGUACAGCACAGCCCGUGCCCCACGGAGGUCCCCGGCCCUGGUGUCAACAGGUGAAAACCUUAAUUUAAGAAAUGCAAGGAAGAAAAGAAGAGUAAAGACAGGUUGAAGGGAGGCCAGAAAGGAAAAAAGAAUAGACAACGUUUUGCCAGAAGCUAACGCCGCACCCCGGAAACAGAGCUUGGCCCCCCGCCCGCCUCUCGGGCAGCGUCCACCUCGUUCCAGAGUGCUUCGUCCCCUCACCCUCGGGGUCUUCCUCUGGGCAGCGCUGGCUCAGGCCCCCUCUGCCUGACACAGGCCGAGACGGGUUCAUAAGGAGCUUGUUUAGAGCCCUUGACGAUGACAUGUGCCUCUCACAAGUCCCAUUUUGUGCUUCUCGGGGUGCCCUGCGUUAGUGAUGGAUGCAGAGACCUACCCUGUCCUCUGCCAAGCCGCAUGUGCUUCGGUAUCUUUUAAAUACAUGCGAGCGCCCCAAUCCCCGAUUAUGUAAUUGUCUCGGUGGCCAGCGCUCACCUGUCUGGUCUGAACUCAAUUUACAGAAGCUCCCUGCGGCCCUCUAUAAAUAUUCAUUAAUGAUGAGGUCAGAUGCAGCCCUGGAAUUCAGGUAAGGACCGUUCUUAACACAAACCACACAGCCUUCUCCCUGCCCCGGGGUGACCAUGAGGACAGGAAGGCCCGGAGUCCCAUCAGAAGAACCUAGAAGAAAUCAGACUGUGGUGAACGGACACCAGGCCUCGAGAGAGGAGACAGAGAUGCAGAAGCUCAGGAAAGGGGAAACGAUCCAAGCCGAGUGAUGGACUCCCUGCCCAAAGUUACUGCGCCACGGUCUUCCCCUAAGUGCGGUGGCAGCUGGUAAAAAAUCUUUAUGCCAAUAAAAAUAUUUGCCAGCCA